rnacentral:rRNA from 1 species
UAAUACGUAGGUGGCAAGCGUUGUCCGGAAUUAUUGGGCGUAAAGCGCGCGCAGGCGGCUCCUUAAGUCUGAUGUGAAAUCUUGCGGCUCAACCGCAAGCGGUCAUUGGAAACUGGGAGGCUUGAGUGCAGAAGAGGAGAGUGGAAUUCCACGUGUAGCGGUGAAAUGCGUAGAGAUGUGGAGGAACACCAGUGGCGAAGGCGGCUCUCUGGUCUGUAACUGACGCUGAGGCGCGAAAGCGUGGGGAGCAAACAGGAUUAGAUACCCUGGUAGUCCACGCCGUAAACGAUGAGUGCUAAGUGUUAGAGGGUUUCCACCCUUUAGUGCUGCAGCUAACGCAUUAAGCACUCCGCCUGGGGAGUACGGCCGCAAGGCUGAA